rnacentral:lncRNA from 1 species
CAAUAAUCCACAGAUUCAUCUGCUUUGAGAAAGAGGAAGGAAGAAGGGUGGUGUCCAGCACGGGAGGAAGUGGUCUAGUGAGAGGAGGGCAGAUGGAGGAACCAGGCAGGAUGAAGUAAGGCCCAGCUCAGGAGAAGCUUCAUCCCCUGAAAUCCACUGGAGAGAAAAUGGAAGGAGUCUGGACUUUGCAGAUUCAGCCCAUGCACUGAAAUAUUGCAUGCUUUGCAAUAUAAAGGAAAGAGAAACCUCAGGUAUCUGACUCUUGGACAUUUUGCAUCUGACGCUCUUUUCUACCAGAGGAAAAAGAGGUUUAUUACAAGCCAAGCCGUCUUGCCGUUUACUAACCACUGAAUAUUUAUUAUGGCGACGCGCCAGUGCUAAUGUACUCAAUUCAAGGUUUGGGAUUACAUGUAAAUCUGGGGUCAAGCUAACAACUGAGAAUAGAGAUGGGAAUAAAGAUGGGAGGGGAGGAGCA